AGUGAACGCUGGCGGUAGGCCUAACACAUGCAAGUCGAACGGCAGCACAGUAAGAGCUUGCUCUUACGGGUGGCGAGUGGCGGACGGGUGAGGAAUACAUCGGAAUCUACUUUUUCGUGGGGGAUAACGUAGGGAAACUUACGCUAAUACCGCAUACGACCUACGGGUGAAAGCAGGGGAUCUUCGGACCUUGCGCGAUUGAAUGAGCCGAUGUCGGAUUAGCUAGUUGGCGGGGUAAAGGCCCACCAAGGCGACGAUCCGUAGCUGGUCUGAGAGGAUGAUCGGCCACACUGGAACUGAGACACGGUCCAGACUCCUACGGGAGGCAGCAGUGGGGAAUAUUGGACAAUGGGCGCAAGCCUUAUCCAGCCAUACCGCGUGGGUGAAGGAGGCCUUCGGGUUGUAAAGCCCUUUUGUUGGGAAAGAACAGCAGCAGGUUAAUACCCCGCUGUUCUGACGGUACCCAAAGAAUAAGCACCGGCUAACUUCGUG
rnacentral:rRNA from 1 species